AGUAACUAGGAACCUCUUUGCGCACUGUUAAGACAGUUGAUGCCAUUACCUCAUGAGAUCAUGAUGUUAUUAAAGGGACUUUUUAGAAAAAAUAAAAGGCAAUCUUUUCCAGAUCAACUCUACUGUAGCCUACUUCAUAAUGCUGGGACUCAGAGGCCUACAAACUACAUCUCCCAGGAUUCACUUCAGCUGGCUCCGAACUAGGACUCCUCCUCCUGACAAGGAAGCUAGCCGCUGGCCAGUGUACUUAGCCCAGACAGUACUGCUAGCCACAGAGUUCGAGGAGGGAGGACUGCCCCUGACUCUGGGCAGUCACUGAUCCCCGGAACAACCCCAACUUAACUUUCCAGAAAGAAAAAGGUGCAAUGGGCGAGAUGCACUUUCCAUCUUUCUCAGCUCAUUUUGGAACAA
rnacentral:lncRNA from 1 species